UACGUAGGGUGCGAGCGUUAAUCGGAAUUACUGGGCGUAAAGCGUGCGCAGGCGGUUCGUUAAGUCAGAUGUGAAAGCCCCGGGCUCAACCUGGGAACUGCAUUUGAAACUGGCGGGCUUGAGUGCGGCAGAGGGGAGUGGAAUUCCGCGUGUAGCAGUGAAAUGCGUAGAUAUGCGGAGGAACACCGAUGGCGAAGGCAAUCCCCUGGGCCUGCACUGACGCUCAUGCACGAAAGCGUGGGGAGCAAACAGG
rnacentral:rRNA from 1 species